rnacentral:rRNA from 1 species
CCUACGGGAGGCAGCAGUGGGGGAUAUUGCACAAUGGCGGAAACCCUGAUGCAGCGACGCCGCGUGUGGGAAGACGGUCCUCUGGAUUGUAAACCACUGUCCCCAGGGACGAAGAUGACGGUACCUGGGGAGGAAGCUCCGGCUAACUACGUGCCAGCAGCCGCGGUAAUACGUAGGGAGCGCGCGUUGUCCGGAAGUACUGGGUGUAAAGGGAGCGUAGGCGGGGAUGCAAGUUGGGGGUCAAAACUACCGGCUCAACUGGUAGUCGCACUCGAAACUGCAGCUCUUGAGUGAAGUAGAGGCAGGCGGAAUUCGUGGUGUAGCGGUGAAAUGCGUAGAUAUUAGGAAGAACACCAGUUGCGAAGGCGGCCUGCUGGGCUUUUACUGACGCUGAGGCUCGAAAGUGUGGGGAGCGAACAGGAUUAGAUACCCUUGUAGUC